GACGAACGUUGGCGGCGUGCUUAAUACAUGCAAGUCCACUGAAGCAGUGGUAGCAAUCUCGCUGUGGAGGUGGCGCACGGGUGAGUAACACGUAGGUAAUCUGCCUUCAGGUCUGGCAUAACUCCGGGAAACCGGGGCUAAUAGCAGAUGAUGCAGCGGCUCGACAUCGAGACAGUUGUUAAAGCUAUGGCGCCUGAAGAUGAGCCUGCGUCUGAUUAGCUAGUUGGCGGGGUAACGGCCCACCAAGGCAACGAUCAGUAGCUGGUCUGAGAGGAUGAUCAGCCACACUGGAACUGAGACACGGUCCAGACUCCUACGGGAGGCAGCAGUAAGGAAUAUUGCCCAAUGGGAGAAAUCCUGAAGCAGCAACGCCGCGUGAGGGACGAAGGGCUUUUGCUUGUAAACCUCUGUAGUGAGAGAAAAAAAUCCCAAUCUUUGGGACAUGAUGGUAUCUCAAAAGUAAGCCCCGGCUAACUACGUG
rnacentral:rRNA from 1 species